rnacentral:rRNA from 1 species
GACCGAACCCACUAGUGUUGCAAAAACUAGGGGGAUGAGCUGUGGAUAGGGGUGAAAGGCUAAACAAAACUUGGAAAUAGCUGGUUCUCUCCGAAAAACUAUUUAGGUAGUGCCUCACGUAUCACUCUCGGGGGUAGAGCACUGUCAUGGCUAGGGGGUCAUCGCGACUUACCAAACCAUAGCAAACUCCGAAUACCGAGAAGUGCGAGCGUGGGAGACAGACAUCGGGUGCUAACGUCCGGUGUCAAGAGGGAAACAACCCAGACCGCCAGCUAAGGUCCCAAAUGACGUGCUAAGUGGUAAACGAAGUGGGAAGGCAUAGACAGCCAGGAUGUUGGCUUAGAAGCAGCCAUCAUUUAAAGAAAGCGUAAUAGCUCACUGGUCGAGUCGUCCUGCGCGGAGAUGUAACGGGGCUAAGCACGUAACCGAAGCUGCGGAUCUACAGUUUACUGUAGGUGGUAGGAGAGCGUUCUGUAAGCCUGUGAAGGUGUCUUGAGAAGGAUGCUGGAGGUAUCAGAAGUGCG